rnacentral:rRNA from 1 species
GAAAGAUGGCUUUGGCUAUCACUCUGGGAUGGACCUGCGGUGCAUUAGCUAGUUGGUAAGGUAACGGCUUACCAAGGCGAUGAUGCAUAGCCGAGUUGAGAGACUGAUCGGCCACGAUGGAACUGAGACACGGUCCAUACUCCUACGGGAGGCAGCAGUAGGGAAUCUUCCACAAUGGGCGCAAGCCUGAUGGAGCAACACCGCGUGAGUGAAGAAGGGUUUCGGCUCGUAAAGCUCUGUUGUUGGAGAAGAACGUGCGUGAGAGUAACUGUUCACGCAGUGACGGUAUCCAACCAGAAAGUCACGGCUAACUACGUGCCAGCAGCCGCGGUAAUACGUAGGUGGCAAGCGUUAUCCGGAUUUAUUGGGCGUAAAGCGAGCGCAGGCGGUUGCUUAGGUCUGAUGUGAAAGCCUUCGGCUUAACCGAAGAAGUGCAUCGGAAACCGGGCGACUUGAGUGCAGAAGAGGACAGUGGAACUCCAUGUGUAGCGGUGGAAUGCGUAGAUAUAUGGAAGAACACCAGUGGCGAAGGCGGCUGUCUGGUCUGCAACUGACGCUGAGGCUCGAAAGCAUGGGUAGCGAACAGGAUUAGAUACCCUGGUAGUCCAUGCCGUAAACGAUGAGUGCUAGGUGUUGGAGGGUUUCCGCCCUUCA